AUCCACAACAGGAGUCACUGUGCACUUACUCCCCAUUUGAAUGGACUCCACUCUGGAGAUGACAGAAGCCCACUCUCCUGUAAUCAUCUCUUCAAGAUCAAGAUCUCUGCUGCUGUAUCUCUACAGUCUCAGGCGCUAACACCAUGCCUGCCAAAAAGCAGUUGCUCUGCAUCGACUGAAUAAUUAGAUAUGUAUUUAUGAUGAAGAAGCAA